AGCAAGUGAUGUCUUUUCUCACGAUGGUCUAUGGAUGCCACUGUGGGCAGUGACAAUGAUGCCAAUCUCAGAAGAUACUAGGAG